CCCACCAUUAAUGGAAACUGAGCAAGAAAACAAAGGAUUUUUCGAUUUCUGAGUGAGACCAACUCAGAAACCGAGUAAUUUUUUUUGCAGGUGUAUACGUUACGUAUAGUACAUAUAUUAAUGUAACAUUUUUAAGCGUGUGCUUCGCUCAGGCAAGGGAGCAAUCGUGAAUCACGACACGCUUUAAGAGGUACUCACAAAGUGUAUUAAUCCAUGCACACAUUUCAGGCCGAACAUGUCUAAAGGUCCAAUCUGCAGAAGAGAGGCUCUCUUUGGUUCCCCUCUCUAUCGUUAAUAUCUCAGCUGUUUAUUUGUAUCAUCAUUGUCUCCUUGCAUUGAACGAUGGUCAAAACAAUCGUCUUUUGAUCUGUACUGCAAAAAUAGUUGAAAAGUGUACCAUCACUUUGCAAUAAUUGAAAGAGAAAGUGAACAAAGAGAGCCUCUCAAAUGCAGAUAGGACCUAUUGAAAUGUUCGGCCUGAUUUUGAAGAUGAAAAUGUUAAAAUGUUGACGUAGAGGGAGAAAAGUGAUUUAGAAUGGAAAAUUUUAAUGUGACGUAAUCUAUGAACGUCUCGAACAUAUUAAUAUAUUUAAUGGUUCGUGUGUUGCAUACAUCUUGGCGAUUAACUUACCUACCACUUAACGAAUAAAUGUACAUUUGUCAGGUUCUAAUUAUUACCUACCGAGGAAAAUUUCUACUCAGUCACUGGGAUGAUCUUACUCAGAAUCAGAAAUAGUUUUUGUUUUCCUACACUAAAUAACGGCUUGCGGUUGAAAUUACUAUGAGCCAUUUUACGAAGUGACAACAAUGUUGAUUCGCGAAUACGAAGUUGUCGAAUGUGCGUGAAGGUUUACGUGAGAAAAAACGAGAGGGAAAUAUUUUUUGCUUUUUUUCACACACAUUCUGACAGUUCCUUACGAGGUUUUUCAUUAGAGCGACAAAGAGUUGGAAUCUCUAUUACCUUCGUAGUCGCGAAUGUUGAUAUCGAUUUUCACGGGUUUGGACGCUAUCUCCUGCUAAAAUUUUAUUCAUAAUAACGGCUCGUAAAAUGGACUAUUCUGCAGGAUCAAUUUAAAUAUAUACAUCGCCACUAAAUUUGUGUAGACUGAGUUUCGCUUCAAUUCAACAGAUAAAUACUGUCAAUUUUAUAAUUGACCCAAUUUACAACUAACCCUUUACACUGAAAUUAAUUUUGUUGUGAAAACUAACUGCAAGAGUGAAAGACGGCUUGCGGUAAUGACCAGCAUAAAAAUGAUUUUAAAUUUACCAUGGCAAAAAAGGUGAUCAUCGUCCAACAAACGCUUGUUGUCUGCGUUUUGUUCCCUCUCAUAUCAACUCGUUCUAUAGCCGAGUGGUAGCAUGCGAGCCAGUUGAUCUCAAGCUUGUUGGUUUGAACCCAGUUGCCAACAGAUUUUUUGAUUAGCGGGGUAACAUUGAUUGGCUUGACCGACCUCAUGAAAUGUUCAUGGAUCAUUUCCAGUAUGCUUCAUUUUAAGUAAUCUACACAAUGAAUUUUCAUGAGGUAUUCUUAUGGCUUCCAUAAUAUUUAGUUAUAGCAAAAGUUCAUAAGGUGUUUUGAUGAAUUUCGUUACACGGUCAGAAAAUUCACUCAUUUUCGAGCAAAAGUGGGACAACUCAAAAUUGAGUAAAUUUUUUUUCCAGCGAUAGCGCUGGCCCAAGUGCGAAAAUAUCAUCAGUUUAAGCCGUAUAAUAUUCUUGAUGAUGCGAAGAAUAUUAUACGGCUUAAACCAGUUGGAUUUUUGCACUUGGGCCAGCGCAAUCGCUGGAAAUGCAAUUUACUCAUUUUUUGAGCUGUUCCAGUUUAGCUCAGUUUUGUGUGAAUCUUACUCAUUUUAGAGUAACAUUUUCUUAGCGUGUAGUUUAUUCGCUGGGUGUACUAAAUCGAUAUCCCUGAUUUCGAAUAUGCUGUCCAAAGGAUCCAAAGUCAUACAAAUUAUGUGUUUUUUUGUCACUGUAGUGUUAAAACCGUCUAAUAACGCCUUAAGGUAGGCAAACUUUUAGGGAAUUGAAAACCUUCUGAAUGAAAUCGUAUAUUUCAUCAACCCGGUUACAGUCGCGUCGUGUACUGAGUACACGCACCAUGAAAAAAGCACAUUUGUGGUACACAGCGUGAGCGUGGUGUCGCUGAGGGUGGCUGAAGACGCGACUGUUCGAGGGUUUAGAAGGAUCACUUUCGUAGUGUGCCGCGCUUGUUGAUGAGAGUGAAAAUUUUCGCUCCCGUCAUUUAUUUUUAGUUUCAUUUUUCAUCAAAUUUUCCUUUUUUCUCAAUAUUGAAUGUUUUUGAUUCCUGUAUAAAAAGGACCAAAAAUUUUGUUUUGGGACUGAAUCACUUUCCUCAGCGUCAUGCUCAAAGUACUAUUCUUAUAUAAGAUGAUGGCAACGAUUUUCGAGCUUUCGGAUAUGGAUGGGAUAGUUCAUUUUUUCAAAAUUGAUUCAUAAAGUUACACUCAUAGCACAAUUAUGGGUUAGGUACCUACUCAAGAAGCAAUCAUUUCAUAAUCGAUUUUCAUACAGAAAUAACACUUACAUUAUCGUUAUUUUACAUUCUUAUCAUUGAAACUCCUUUUUAUUGUUUUAUAUAAAAAUCUGCUUGUAAAACUCACUUUAAGUGAUGAAAAUUACUAAAAAGUUGAUGAAUAAUGAAAACUAAAUUAAUGGGCCAAAAUUGGCUGUGUAACAAUUUUGGGUCAACUUGUUGUCUAUUAUUUAUUUAGUUACUCAAGUUUUAUCAUCUAUUUUGUUAAUGAAUGAUCACUUAUUCUCGUUAGAUCAACUAUUCUUCAUUGCACCAACAAAGCUAGCCAUGAAAAUGUUUGACAAUUAUCAAGUCAUUUUGACAGACAACACACAUGCACGAAAAAGACGGAUCAUAUAUUCUACUUUAUCGACAUUGGUGCCGUCCUUUUCAUGUUCAUGUUGAAUCUGUCAAAAUGACCUGAGAAUUGUCAGUCAUUUUGAGGUUAGGUUCGUUGGUGUAAUAAAGAAUAGUAGAAUCUAAAGCUGGUCUCAAAUUUCUUAAGGACAGACUUGUUAGAAUCUCAAAAUGGCCGCCACAAUGGCUGAUUUUGGCACUUACUCACGAUUUCGAGAGCACAAAUCUCUUUGUAAACAAAACCAGCGCACCUGACAUUUUUAUUUUAAGCAUAUUACAAGUGAGCAAGAACAAAAUAAUAAAAUGCACUGUUGUUUAAAGCAUGCUUCUUGAGACUUGUGCGUCUGAAGUUCUGAUGCACAGUUGUAGCGGGAUUUCGAGACGUUUGUCCUUAACGAAGCGUGUUUUCAUGAUUUGAAAUCAAUUUUUCAAAAUUGGGACCAAAUCUCCAUCCACCCACACCACCGAUAAACGCCUAAAAGCAUGCAAUGUCUAUGUACGCAGAACUCUCAAUUACAUAUAUGCUGCACAAAAAGUCACCCAUAAUUGCGUGAUUUUCACGCAACAAUAAUGAGUCACUUAAAUUUUGUCUGAAAUUAGCUUUAAUUAGCGGCAAUCACCUUAGUUUCCACAUUAGGAACGCAAAUUAUACCUUUGUUCUGGUGGUGAUACCAUUUCGUACUUGAAAAUCACUAAAGAUCACUUUUACAGAUCUUACAAAAGCAGCGCACGCACUUUCCUAUAUUCACAAUCGAAGCGUUACUUUGACAGAUGGUUCUGCACCGAACAAAAGUUUUUGAAAAUAUGUAUGUUAUUAUUGGAAAUACUGUUACAUGGGAAAAUAUUAAGAAAAUUUGCUGAAAAACUAUGAAAGAUAACCCAUUUUACUGUAUAUUUUUGGUUUACCCUUGAAGAAUCUAAUUGCUAUAACUAUUACAAGUUCAAGCUUCUAUGUUGCAGGAGCUAGAGAACGUAUUCUACGAGAAAGGCACUAUCACCGCUAGGUGGAUUAAUCUGGGUUUUUAUUCAAAAAAUCCCACACAAUCUUCAAAUACCCCAGCACGGUUUCCAUCCCAGUGUGCACUAAACCAUUCAAUGCAUACCAUUCUGCACGUACAUACAGACAUUCCACACCUGUAUGGUGGCAAAGAAACACUUAAGUGAAGAACUUUUUCUUUUGUAUUUAUAUACGGGUUCUUCAUUCUCACUUCAGUCUCAUCCGGAUGCGGAUGAUGGUGAGUAGUAGGUAGGAUGAAGGAAGAAACCGUUGCACUAUGAAUGCGAAUUCAUCUCAAGCAUUUGGUCUACCUACACACCAAGAAAGCGAAACUUUUCCAUUCAAUUGCAGUUCUUAAGAGAUGCUCGCUCUACUUUGACUCAUCCUAGUGUAUAUGAAUGUGUAAGGUAGUUAAGGCAUGCAUGUACAUUAGACCGGGUCAACAUGGUCAUUUUUUCGGAACAAAGUUUUUUCGACGCCUUUUAUGGUCCCAAACUACUGUGCAAAAUUUGGGCGCGAUUGGUUGCGUCCCCGCAUUCCGCAUUGCGUUUGAAAUUUGUAUGGAGUUUUAUAUGGGAAAACACACUUUUUUGCAUAUUCCUCGUUAGAUUCUCGUAUUUGUCUAGAACUAUAUAACUCACGAUGUUAAAGUAUAGCCCAGGAGAUACUGAUAAACUUUGCCGAAGAGAGUAAGAUGCUAGAAUGGCUUUGAAAAAAGUUAUUAAUGUUCAAAGUUUGAUAUCUCCGCACAACUACUGAAAACCAUUUAUUCUGCCAACACUGUUGGUGCUUAAAAGGAUCAACUCAUCCUUGCUUUAUAGUCUGUCAUUUCGUGGAACCCCAACUCCCGUUUCAUCAACAAACAACAACUAAGAUAAUGGAUCUGCUUUUGGGGAAUGGUUUGAAAACUAUUAUAGAUGUGUACCAUAGAAACCAACUCAUCUGAACCAGGCAUGCUGCUGCGUAUUCAAUGGACAUGGAUAGUUCCCGGAAUUAUUCCAGAUAUGAAGAAGAAUAUUUCUAAAGGCCGGCUUGUGGCGCAUUUUAUUUCUUGGUGUUGCAAACCAAGAGCAAUAAUAAACGUUUUGAAAAUGUUGACCACAGCGGCAACUAAAAAAAAUGUUUUCUUGUUAUCCCCAAAGUUGGUAGUACAUAAAAAUUUACAAGUAAGAGGUUGUCCAUAAACGACUUGUUUUAGCCAUAUCUCAACCCUCCUUCUCCCUCGGAAACUUUUAUUCAAACAACAUUUUGACAUUUUUGGACCGUAGACUUUAGCCGACAACAUAUCCCACCAUAACUUUCUACGUACUUUAUUCAAAUUUUGAAGAGAUUCUGAAAUGAUCUAUUCUAGCAUUUCUGGCAGCAUAUUGCUAUUGAACAAAGACUUUAGAGUGGAGGGUAAUAACCAAACUGGGUCUAUUUUAUUUGAAGGAAUAAAAACUAGGUCAUGGCAGGCUCCUCAAUUAUUUGGGUUCAAGUGAUCGGUUCAAACACAUUCCUAACCGUUAUAACGCUGUUUGUAUUAUUGGUCAGUUCCACUUUUGCAUGAACUGUAACACCAUAUAUGACACCCAUUCACCUCUCCAACUAUAAUGUCCGUAUGGUAGAUCUGCGAUUACAAAUUUAGAAAGAAAGUGGUUCCAAAAAAGACAGAAUAUACGUGUUUAUUUAUUGUCCGUGUAUUUUUUUUAUUAGUUUCAAUCACUUGCGUAUCUGUUGGUUUACUCACAUUAAAUCCUACUAAAAUAAUAAUUGAAUUACAAAUUAUUGAUUCUGAAAUACGUAUUCGCAAACUGCUUUCUUCCUUGCGUGAAUCCAGAGCAUCCUCUAAGUCGUCAAAAAGUCCCAACAUAUCUUGCAUUAUACUUGCUCAGAAACGUCCCUGGUCUGGUGGUUUUCUAAAAUAGAGGCCAUCGGUUUCAGAAAAAAUGUUACUACGGCGCUGCACUUAAACUGCUCCAGAAAAAAAUCUCCAAAGGCAGAUUCUAAAAUGAUAUGAA